rnacentral:rRNA from 1 species
ACUCCUACGGGAGGCAGCAGUGGGGAAUAUUGCACAAUGGGGGAAACCCGUGAUGCAGCCAUGCCGCGUGUGUGAAGAAGGCCUUCGGGUUGUAAAGCACUUUCAGUCGUGAGGAAAGGGUUGUAGUUAAUACCUGCAAUCUGUGACGUUAGCGACAGAAGAAGCACCGGCUAACUCCGUGCCAGCAGCCGCGGUAAUACGGAGGGUGCGAGCGUUAAUCGGAAUUACUGGGCGUAAAGCGUGCGUAGGCGGAUGAUUAAGCGAGAUGUGAAAUCCCGGGCUCAAGCC